AAAAAACAGGCAUCAGGCGGGACUCAAACUGCAGACUACAGUUUGCUGACACCUACUUUACCCAAAGCACUGUCUAUAGGUGCCUGUGAUGGUUAAUAGUGUUAACUUGAUUGGAUGGAAGGGUGCAAAGUAUUGUCCCUGGCUGUGUCUAUGAGGGUGUUGCCAGAGGAGAUUAACAUUUGAGUCAGUGGAUUGGGAGAGGAAGACUCACCCUCAGUGUGGGUGGGCACCAUCCAAUCAGCUGCCAGUGAGGCUAGAAAAAGGCAGUCCGGGCGCGGUGGCUCACACCUGUAAGCCCAGCACUUUUGGAGGCCAAGGCAGGUGGAUCACUUGAGGUCAGGAGUUUGAGACCAGCCUGGCCAGCAUGGUGAAAUGCCAUCUCUACUAAAAAUACAAAAAUUAGCCAGCAGUGGUGGCAGGCACCUGUAGUCCCAGCUACUCGGGAGGCUGAGGCAAGAGAAUUGCCGAGACUCUGUCUCAAAAAAAAAAAAAAAAAAAAGGAAGAAGAAAAAAAGCAGGGGGAAGAAGGUGGGAUCAGCUGGCUUGCUAAGUCUUCCCACUCUCAUCUUUCUCUCUUGCUGGAUGCUUCCAGCUCUUGAACAUCAGAUUCCAGGUUCUGCAGCCUUUGGACUCUUGGACUUAGACCAGUGGUUUGCCGGGGGAUCUCAGAUCUUCAGCCACAUACUGAAGUCUGCACUGUUGGCUUCCCUACUUUUGAGGCUUUGGAACUCUGACUGAGCAACUACUGGCUUCGUUGCUCCUCAGCUUGCAGGUGGCCUAUCGUGGGACUUCACCUUGUGAUCACGCUGGAGUACAGUGGCACGAUCACAGCUCACUGCACCCUCAACUUCCCAGGCUCAGGUGAUUCUCCUGCAUCAGCCUCCCGAGUAGCUGGGACUACAGGUGUGGACACAUUGAGAAGUCACUAUCUAUGAACUAGGAAGCAGGAUCUCACCAGACAUCGAAUCUGCUGAUGCCUUCAUCUUGGACUUCUCUCUCAGCCUCCAGAACUGUGAGAAAUAAAGUCCUGUUGUUUAUAAGCCACUCAGUCUAUGGUAUUUUAUUACAGCAAACCGAAUGGGCAAAGACAUGGGUGAAGUUAUCCAGGACCCUCCAAACCAGGCCAUUCACCUUCACCAGCUAAAUUCCACUGAGUGACCCCAGUCAGUGCACAUGGAACAGAAGAGUCACUCAGCUGAGCCCUGCU
rnacentral:lncRNA from 1 species